rnacentral:lncRNA from 1 species
AUUCCCUUUGAAAAUCUAUGAAACUGUCUUUUUAAACAGACUUCUGUGCAAAUGUUUUAAAAUUUUACCCUCAUAGAUUCCUUUUUACUUGUAGGGGGAAAAAAAAAUAACAAUGGCUCAAAUAAACUUUGUUCCUAUUUCCUACACUCUCCAUAACUUUUUGCUCCCAAGGUAAAAGGAAUCCUAAGGUAGUGAGACAUUCAUUAGGUUGAUAGUUUUCCCAUUUUUAAAAGAAGAGCUCUUAUGUAAUCACGUCACUCAGAAAGAUCCU